rnacentral:rRNA from 1 species
GAUGAACGCUGGCUACAGGCUUAACACAUGCCAGUCGAGGGGAAACGACGGGGAAGCUUGCUUCCCCGGGCGUCGACCGGCGCACGGGUGAGUAACGCGUAUCCAACCUGCCUCUGACUGAGGGAUAACCCGUCGAAAGUCGGCCUAAUACCUCAUGGCAUCGUCUGCGGGCAUCCAACGACGAUUAAAGAUUUCAUCGGUCAGGGAUGGGGAUGCGUCUGAUUAGCUUGUUGGCGGGGUAACGGCCCACCAAGGCUACGAUCAGUAGGGGUUCUGAGAGGAAGGUCCCCCACAUUGGAACUGAGACACGGUCCAAACUCCUACGGGAGGCAGCAGUGAGGAAUAUUGGUCAAUGGGCGGGAGCCUGAACCAGCCAAGUAGCGUGCAGGAGGACGGCCCUAUGGGUUGUAAACUGCUUUUAUGCGGGGAUAAAGUGAGGGACGUGUCCUUCAUUGCAGGUACCGCAUGAAUAAGGACCGGCUAAUUCCGUG